AAAGGUGUCUAUAGCGACGGAGAUCCACCUCUUCCCAUCCCGAACAGAGAAGUUAAGCCCGUCAGCGCCGAUGGUACUGCCUUUAGGUGGGAGAGUAGGUCGAUGCCGAAU
rnacentral:rRNA from 2 species